UCCGCUGCGAGUCCUCCUGCCUCCCUGAGAACACAGUGCACAGCAUCCGGGAGAGACUGGCCAGGACUUGGUGUUCAGUUACCUCCAACACCAAAGACAGUUGGACUUGCAUUCCCUGGGGCCAGCUCACAAGCUUCAGAGAGCUCACAGCAUAAUGUCUUCUUCUGACACAUGCUCACUGAACAUCCACCAUGAGCCAGGCACUGGACCUCUGUUCUGAACGCCAUGUGCCUCCCCUGGUCUCUGGAAGUCCAGUAGGCACCUGUACAUCUAGACACCUCCCCUGCACACAAAUCUGCUCUUCCUAUGACAGUCCCUGUGUCAUUGUCAUAAGAGAUACAUUUGAUUCUCCACCCUGGUUCUGGCACGAGAACUCUAAAAGCCUUGGGAUUUCCUAAGAGAUGAGGGGACAGGGCUGGAGAGCUUCCGGGCUGGUGAGCACAGGGAGGUGCUGGGAUGGUGGCGCAUCCAGAGAGAGCCUGGACACUCCGCAACAGUCACCCCGAUGCCUUGCCCAGGGCAGUCCUUCUCUGCUGCCCCUGAGUUACAUCCUAAUCAUAAACCAGUAUGUUUACACUGAGGUGAGGCCAACUGCUCUGUGUGUGGAAGCCAGAGAAGAAAGCAGCACAGAACAGAUGCAAACCAAGGAGGCUGGAAGAUAAGAGCAGAGCCAUCAGGACACGAGCCCCUCGCGGGUAUGAAACAGGAGUCGUGGGAGCAAAUUAAGCUUCCUGUGUGCAGCAUGGAUCUAAAGCUGGUGGAUGCAGGGGGGUGAACAAGACAACAUCUUCACUUCCUGCAUGCUGAUGGCAGAAGUGAGACAUCAGCGAAGAAACAUCACGAUCACCAAAUUACGAUGAACACCAUGGAGGAAACAAAGGACACUGUGACACCAAGGAAGGAAGGGAGGUUACUUUUCAUAGUGGCUGUAAAUAGAACUGAAGGCUGAAAAACAGCUGUUAAAAUGGCUUGUUUGUUUGAAGAUGAAUGAGAGUACACAAUAAAAGGAAAAAAAUUUGGACACAGACACACACAGAGGGAUGACCACGUGGAGAUGCAGGGAGAGGAUAGCAGCUACAGGCCAGGGCGAGAGGCCUCAGAGGAAACCAGUCCUGCUGACUCUUUGAACUCGGACUUCCAGCCUCCAGAACUGAACCACUGUCUUCCUUUAUCCCAGGAUGUCUGCAAGGAAGAAAAUGUCCUUUUUCUAGCAUUUAGAGGCCACCAACAUUGAAUAACCACACUGGGGUAGACACAGCGGCGAAGAGAUUCCUGCUGUUCCCAUCACAGCAGCCUUGGAGAUGAGAAGACAGAUGGAUCUGACCAGAAGUCUGGAGAACUUCGAGAAAAAAGGAGGAGGACACAAAAGGAAAUAACAAAAAAGAUGCAUCCGGAGCAACUAUGAGGAUGGUAAAUUGGUGUCUAAUUCUGAAAAUCAUAAUUGGUAUAAAUGCUAUGUACUGUGGAAGGAGGGAUGAAGGGUAGAGGGAAUAAAAAAGAACAUGAAGUUAGAAUCCUUGGCAUGAAAGCCUGCCAUUUAUACAAGCAAACAAACAAGAUCAGGGACUAUCAACUGGCUGGCUGAAUUGGACCAAUAGGCAGGUUUAUUCAGCCCCACACUUCAAAAAUUAGGAGAUCUCCAAAUUAAAAUCUGGGAAUCUGACCUUUUGUAACAAAUCAGAGGAUUUGCAACACCAAGAGCAUCAUCACAGGCAACGACCAGCUUGGAUGGGCAGCGGCUGCCCCUGCAGGUGGGUCAGGUGCUCUUCCGUUGGACACAGUCUCCACCACUCCCUGUCGCUUGCUCCUUGCUCCCCAUCAGCAUAACUGUUUGGGCCUUAUAGCAUAUGCAUUUAUCACUCCCUACUAGGACGUCCACAACAUGAAAUGAGAGAACGAUUUGGUAAGUUCAACAAAAGGCAUAUUAUGCAGCCACCAUACAUUCUUUGUGGAAAGAGAAGUGGCAUAAAUCAAUUCAUAAAUUAUCUCAAGUUGUUUCCUCUGGAGUCCUGGGCUGGCUGUUGGAUGAAUUCAUCUGUCUUCUAGCAGAUGGACAAGAAAAUUGAAUUGUAGUGGCCCAUCAGGUGUCGAUCGCAGCCUCUGGGUCCGUGUAGGUGAGCCCUCACCACAGAGAGAAUGAGAGCUGGCUCUAGGACGGGGUGUUGAUCUGUGCACAGCUGCCCGGGAAAGGGCCUAGAGAGAGGAGCUAUGGGUCCUGCACUGACAUCAGCCUUGAACAUGAGGCUGGCGUGGCAGCGGCGGCGGGGUGGGGGGGGACAUGAAUAAUUCAUAUCGCAACCAGAUUGAUGCUCAGUGAGCUUCAAUAGGAAUGAAUUACCUUGUGUGCAUUUCCUGCCUAAAUGUCAGUGUAUCUUUUCACAAGCGCCUGGGACGGGUUUAUGAAUAGGUGCAUUCUCUGAUGCCUCUGCUUUAGGCAAGGCAGUUUCAGAAUCUUGGCUGAGUUUCCAACUUCUGACUUGCUAUUUACAAACUGUAAUCAUAAGAUUUCAAGUGACACAUGACUGAAAAAAAAAAGCCCUUACUCAGGAGAAAUCUGGAUGGAAAUGGAACAAUGGUUUUGAAUGUAUCUGGAUCAUGAAAUGAAAGUCAGGAGGCUUGAGUGUUCUGCUGAGAAAAAGUGAUGGGGGAAGAACAUAAACAUGUAUAGGACACUUACUGUCUUGGGAACUUUAUGGGUGUUCUCAUUGUUAACAUCAUUUAACAGAUGAGAAAAACAGUUCUCAGACAUUGCUGCUAACAGAAAUUCAAUGCAAGCCACAUUUGUAAUUUAAGAUUUCCUAGUAACCACAUUAAAAAAGAGAAAAAUAAAAAAGAGACUGA
rnacentral:lncRNA from 1 species